rnacentral:snRNA from 1 species
AUCUUUGCGCAGUGGCAGUAUCAUAGCCAAUGAGGUUUAUCUGAGGCGCGAUUAUUGCUAAUUGAAAACUUUUCCCAAUACCCC